UACUAGAGUAGCACUCGCAUAUCAAUAAGCGGAGGAAAAGAAACUAACAAGGAUUCCCCUAGUAACGGCGAGUGAAGCGGGAAGAGCUCAAAUUUGAAAUCUUAAAGGGUUUCCCUUUACGAAUUGUAGUUUAAAGAAGUGUUUUCUGUUGAGGUUUUGGUAAAAGUUCUUUGGAAUAGGACAUCAUAGAGGGUGAGAAUCCCCGUAUUUGACCUUUACUUUCAACUUUGUGAUACACUUUCAAAGAGUCGGAUUGUUUGGGAAUGCAGUCCAAAAUGGGUGGUAAAUUUCAUCUAAAGCUAAAUAUUGGCGAGAGACCGAUAGCGAACAAGUACCGUGAGGGAAAGAUGAAAAGAACUUUGAAAAGAGAGUUAAACAGUACGUGAAAUUGUCAAAAGGGAAGCGUUUGACACCAGUGUUGUUUUUCUGAAAAUCAAUUAAAGAACUGUUUAUGCUAAGCUUGUUUAGACUUUAUCAGCUAUCUGUUUAGUUUUGAGCUUUUCUUUAAUGCACUUUUCAGUUAACAAGUCAACAUCAAUGUCUUUUGCUGUAAAAAAGCUUGAGGAAGGUGGCUUGAGAUUCGUCUUAAGUGUUUAUAGCCUCUUGCCUAUGCAGUCGGAGAGAUUGAGGUCUGCAGCGUAGAUCCUUCGGGGCUAAAUGCAUUUGUGCUAAGUUAUAGCAUUUUAUAGACAACUUGUUGACUAUGAUUUGUCUUGUAGCUUACUCGCUUAUGUUAUUUUACCUACGCUUAGGAUGUUGAGCGCAUGUCUCUCUCU
rnacentral:rRNA from 1 species